rnacentral:rRNA from 1 species
GACGAACGCUGGCGGCGUGCUUAACACAUGCAAGUCGAACGGAAAGGCCCUGCUUUUGUGGGGUGCUCGAGUGGCGAACGGGUGAGUAACACGUGAGUAACCUGCCCUGACUUUGGGAUAACUUCAGGAAACUGGGGCUAAUACCGGAUAGGAGCUCCUGCUGCAUGGUGGGGGUUGGAAAGUUUCGGCGGUUGGGGAUGGACUCGCGGCUUAUCAGCUUGUUGGUGGGGUAGUGGCUUACCAAGGCUUUGACGGGUAGCCAGCCUGAGAGGGUGACCGGCCACAUUGGGACUGAGAUACGGCCCAGACUCCUACGGGAGGCAGCAGUGGGGAAUAUUGCACAAUGGGCGGAAGCCUGAUGCAGCAACGCCGCGUGCGGGAUGACGGCCUUCGGGUUGUAAACCGCUUUCGCCUGUGACGAAGCGUGAGUGACGGUAAUGGGUAAAGAAGCACCGGCUAACUACGUG